CAAAGGUUUGGUCCUAGCCUUGUCCUCAACUGCUACUCAAUUUACACAUGCAAGUAUCUGCACACCCGUGAAAACGCCCUCACCCCUCAUACAGAACGAGGAGCCGGUAUCAGGCACAACAUUUUGCCCAUAACACCUAGCCACGCCACGCCCCCAAGGGUAUUCAGCAGUGAUAGACAUUAUCCAUCAGCGUCAGCUUGAUUUAGUUAGAGUAACAAGAGCCGGCCAAUUCGGUGCCAGCCGCCGCGGCUACCCCGCUUGGCUCAAGUUGACAUUAUCGGCGUUAAGCGUGAUUAAAGUAUCAUUAUUACUAGAAUCAAACCUAAACUAAGUUGUGACACACUUGUAUUCAGGAAGUCCCCAAACGAAAGUUAUUCUAUACCACUUGAACCCACGACAGCUGGAAAACAAACUGGGAUUAGGUACCCCACUAUGCCCAGCCGUAAAACAUUUACUCACACCUCAACCGCCAGGGAACUACAAGCCCAAUCUUAAAACCCAAAGGACUUGACGGUGUCCCACCCACCUAGAGGAGCCUGUUCUAUAAUCGACACCACCCGAUAUACCUUACCAUUUCUGGCCCAUCAGUCUGUAUACCUCCGUCGCAAGCUUACCAUGUGAACGCGUAGUGAGCUAGAAGAUUUUUUACCCACACGUCAGGUCAAGGUGCAACUCACGAAAUGGAAAGCAACGGGCUACAAUCUCUAUAAUAGAAUACACGAAAAACUGCAUGCAACACAGUCAUGAAGGUGGAUUUAGUAGUAAAAAGAAAUUAGAAAAUUCUUUUUAAUUAUGGCGCUGGGACGCGUACACACCGCCCGUCACCCUCUUCAAGCCCACCCACCAAGAAGAGGCAAGUCGUAACAUGGUAAGUGUACUGGAAAGUGCACUUGGACUAACAAA
rnacentral:ncRNA from 1 species